rnacentral:rRNA from 1 species
GAUGAACGCUGGCGGCGUGCCUAAUACAUGCAAGUCGAGCGAACAGACGAGGAGCUUGCUCCUUUGACGUUAGCGGCGGACGGGUGAGUAACACGUGGGUAACCUACCUAUAAGACUGGGAUAACUUCGGGAAACCGGAGCUAAUACCGGAUAAUAUUUCGAACCGCAUGGUUCGAUAGUGAAAGAUGGCUCUGCUAUCACUUAUAGAUGGACCUGCGCCGUAUUAGCUAGUUGGUAAGGUAACGGCUUACCAAGGCAACGGUACGUAGCCGACCUGAGAGGGUGAUCGGCCACACUGGAACUGAGACACGGUCCAGACUCCUACGGGAGGCAGCAGUAGGGAAUCUUCCGCAAUGGGCGAAAGCCUGACGGAGCAACGCCGCGUGAGUGAUGAAGGUCUUCGGAUCGUAAAACUCUGUUAUUAGGGAAGAACGAACGUGUAAGUAACUGUGCACGUCUUGACGGUACCUAAUCAGAAAGCCACGGCUAACUACGUGCCAGCCGCCGCAGUAAUAC